UUCCGGUUGAUCCUGCCGGAGGCCAUUGCUAUUGGAGUCCGACUUAGCCAUGCUAGUCGCGAGGGUUCAGCCCCUCGGCAAAUAGCUCCGUAACACGUGGUCAAACUACCCAGUGGAGAGCGAUACCCUCGGGAAACUGAGACUAAUAGCUCAUACGUGUUCCGUGCUGGAAUGCUCGAACACCGAAACGCUCCGGCGCCGCUGGAUGUGACUGCGGCCGAUUAGGUAGACGGUGGGGUAACGGCCCACCGUGCCGAUAAUCGGUACGGGUUGUGAGAGCAAGAACCCGGAGACGGAAUCUGAGACAAGAUUCCGGGCCCUACGGGGCGCAGCAGGCGCGAAACCUUUACACUGCACGCCCGUGCGAUAAGGGGACUCCAAGUGCGAGGGCAUACAGUCCUCGCUUUUCUCGACCGUAAGGUGGUCGAGGAAUAAGAGCUGGGCAAGACCGGUGCCAGCCGCCGCGGUAAUACCGGCAGCUCGAGUGAUGGCCGAUCUUAUUGGGCCUAAAGCGUCCGUAGCCGGCCACGACGGUCCGUCGGGAAAUCCAUCCGCUCAACGGAUGGGCGUCCGGCGGAAACCACGUGGCUUGGGGCCAGAAGGCUCAGGGGGUACGUCCGGGGUAGGAGUGAAAUCCCGUAAUCCUGGACGGACCACCGAUGGCGAAAGCACCCUGAGAGGAUGGACCCGACGGUGAGGGACGAAAGCUAGGGUCUCGAACCGGAUUAGAUACCCGGGUAGUCCUAGCCGUAAACGAUGCUCGCUAGGUGUGACACAGGCUACGAGCCUGUGUUGUGCCGUAGGGAAGCCGUGAAGCGAGCCGCCUGGGAAGUACGUCCGCAAGGAUGAAACUUAAAGGAAUUGGCGGGGGAGCACUACAACCGGAGGAGCCUGCGGUUUAAUUGGACUCAACGCCGGU
rnacentral:rRNA from 1 species